rnacentral:misc_RNA from 1 species
GAUGAAGAACGUAGCGAAAUGCGAUAAGUAAUGUGAAUUGCAGAAUUCAGUGAAUCAUCGAAUCUUUGAACGCACAUUGCGCCCGCCAGUAUUCUGGCGGGCAUGCCUGUUCGAGCGUCAUUUCAACCAUCAAGCCCCCGGGCUUGUGUUGGGGACCUGCGGCUGCCGCAGGCCCUGAAAAGCAGUGGCGGGCUCGCUGUCACACCGAGCGUAGUAGAUUUUAUCUCGCUCUGGGCGUGCUGCGGGUUCCGGCCGUUAAACCACCCUUCUAACCCAAGGUUGACCUCGGAUCAGGUAGGAAGACCCGCUGAACUUAAGCAUAUCAAUAAGCGGAGGA